rnacentral:lncRNA from 1 species
GCCAUUUUGGAGCCAAAUGAGCCAUACUUGCUAAAAAAUGAUUCCAUUGCACCAUUUUUUAGCCAAAUGGCUAAGUUCCGCUUCAAAUACUAUAAUUGUCAGUUCAGUUUCUUUCUUUAUAUCUAAUUAUGCUAUUCUAACUCCAUUUCAUAGGUUUCUUCUGGUGCAAUGGGUGGUGGAUGUUGAAGGUGCCCAAGUCACCAUCUUGUCGUGUAUGAACACUAGCUAGCUUAUAAUAUAUAUGUUGCUACCAUGCAUGUGAUGAACACUUGUAAUACUUUUGUUGUGAGAUAUGUUAUGUUUUCGGACUUUCAUGAGAUGUUUAUAUAUAUGCUUGUGAUGUGAAUGCGUCGAUGAUUUUCUGUGUAUGUAUUGCUGUGAUGUGGAUGAAUAUAUAUAUGUGUGUGUGUGUGUGCUGUGAAAAUAUUUCAAAUUGCUGCGAUAAAAAAACAAAAAAAAAACCUAUGCCGGCGGCCAAAGGCCUAGCCGCCGGCAAAGGCUGAGCACGGGCACGCACCAGAUCGUGCCACGUGCUCACCCUUUGCCGGCGGCUUUUUCUCUGGUGCCUUUGCCGGCGGCUUUUUCCCUGGCCGCCGGCAAAGGCCCGAUAGGUGGGCCCAGCCAUUAACGGCACCUCAUGCCGUGAUCUCCUUUUCUUUGCCGGAGGCCGUCGUUUCGGCCGCCGCCAAAAGCUUUGCCGACGGGCCCAUGAGAAAGCCGCCGGCAAAGAUUUCUUUGCCGGUGAUCCUCCGUGCCGACGGGCUUUGCCGGCGGCCCCGAAGCCUUUGCCGGCGGCCCUUGGCCCCCGGCAAAGGCACUUUCUCCCGUAGUGUAAUGACUUCGUUGUGCAAAUUAGCGUGUAUAGAUCUCCCUAU